rnacentral:rRNA from 1 species
AGUGAACGCUGGCGGUAGGCCUAACACAUGCAAGUCGAACGGCAGCACAGUAAGAGCUUGCUCUUACGGGUGGCGAGUGGCGGACGGGUGAGGAAUACAUCGGAAUCUACUUUUUCGUGGGGGAUAACGUAGGGAAACUUACGCUAAUACCGCAUACGACCUACGGGUGAAAGCAGUGGAUCUUCGGACCUUGCGCGAUUGAAUGAGCCGAUGUCGGAUUAGCUAGUUGGCGGGGUAAAGGCCCACCAAGGCGACGAUCCGUAGCUGGUCUGAGGGGAUGAUCAGCCACACUGGAACUGAGACACGGUCCAGACUCCUACGGGAGGCAGCAGUGGGGAAUAUUGGACAAUGGGCGAAAGCCUGAUCCAGCCAUACCGCGUGGGUGAAGAAGGCCUUCGGGUUGUAAAGCCCUUUUGUUGGGAAAGAAAAGCAGCAGGUUAAUACCCCGCUGUUCUGACGGUACCCAAAGAAUAAGCACCGGCUAACUUCGUG